UGGAGUUGGAGACCAUUAUUCUAAGUGAAGUAACUCAGGAAUGGAAAAUCAAACAUCAUACGUUCUCACUUAUAAGUGGGAGCUAAGCUAUGAGGAUGCAAAGGCGUAAGAAUGAUACGAUGGACUCUGGGGACUGGAGGGGGUGAGGGAGAA